rnacentral:rRNA from 1 species
AUGAACCAUUCUUAUACAUUUGAUUUGAACAAUGAGAGUUGUGAUUGCAAAAGAUGGGAGCUGUCAGGAAUUCCAUGUCAUCAUGCUAUAGCUUGUGCUAGAGAGGAGAGGAUUGAUCCUGAAAGCCUGGUGCAUGAAUGCUAUUCAGUACAAACAUUCAUAAAAGCCUAUGGUUUCAACAUCAAGCCAAUGAGAGACCAGGAGCAUUGGACAAAGAUGGAUGGAGUAGAGGUGUACCCACCUGUGUACACAAAGGUCAUGGGCAGACCAAGGAGAAAUAGAAAGAAAGAUCCAGAAGAGAAGCAAGACAAGGAAGGAGGGAAGAAACUGACUAAACAUGGUGUAACCAUGCACUGUUCUCUGUGUGGAGGUGCAAAUCACAAUAAGGAAGGCCACAAUAAAUGGCAAGAAACUAACAGAGAGGCACCUCAAGCUACAGAAGAUGAUUCGGAAGACGAGUUUGAUGAUCCAUCCAUAAUUUCUAACAUAAUGGCACACACAGUACAUCCAACCAUGGAUCCAACUCAGACCCCAGGAUCAAUGGUUUAUCUCUUGCAACAAAUGGUAAAGUUCUUAAUCUGCUAUGUUUCUUUGUUUGAAUCUUGUUCAUUAUCACUUCAACUGAAUGUCUACAUUUUCCGUUGCUUAAUUAUUAGGAGAGGAUGUCAUAUCAACCAGUCAUGGAUCAUGGCCCUCUUCCUGAAUCUGCGUUUGUUGCACAAGCCAGAGCUACCGUGCCUCCACCUAGAGUGA